rnacentral:rRNA from 1 species
GAGUUUGAUCGUGGCUCAGGAUGAACGCUGGCGGCGUGCCUAAUACAUGCAAGUCGAGCGAACGGACGAGAAGCUUGCUUCUCUGAUGUUAGCGGCGGACGGGUGAGUAACACGUGGAUAACCUACCUAUAAGACUGGGAUAACUUCGGGAAACCGGAGCUAAUACCGGAUAAUAUUUUGAACCGCAUGGUUCAAAAGUAAAAGACGGUCUUGCUGUCACUUAUAGAUGGAUCCGCGCUGCAUUAGCUAGUUGGUAAGGUAACGGCUUACCAAGGCAACGAUGCAUAGCCGACCUGAGAGGGUGAUCGGCCACACUGGAACUGAGACACGGUCCAGACUCCUACGGGAGGCAGCAGUAGGGAAUCUUCCGCAAUGGGCGAAAGCCUGACGGAGCAACGCCGCGUGAGUGAUGAAGGUCUUCGGAUCGUAAAAACUCUGUUAUUAGGGAAGAACAUAUGUGUAAGUAACUGUGCACAUCUUGACGGUACCUAAUCAGAAAGCCACGGCUAACUACGUGCCG